rnacentral:rRNA from 1 species
AACGAACGCUGGCGGCAUGCCUAACACAUGCAAGUCGAACGAGACCUUCGGGUCUAGUGGCGCACGGGUGCGUAACGCGUGGGAACCUGCCCUUAGGUUCGGAAUAACUCCCCGAAAGGGGUGCUAAUACCGGAUAAUGUCUUCGGACCAAAGAUUUAUCGCCUUUGGAUGGGCCCGCGUUGGAUUAGCUAGUUGGUAGGGUAAAAGCCUACCAAGGCGACGAUCCAUAGCUGGUCUGAGAGGAUGAUCAGCCACACUGGGACUGAGACACGGCCCAGACUCCUACGGGAAGCAGCAGUGGGGAAUAUUAGACAGUGGGCGAGAGCCUGAUCCAGCAAUGCCGCGUGAGUGAUGAAGGCCUUAGGGUUGUAAAGCUCUUUUACCCGGGAUGAUAAUGACAGUACCGGGAGAAUAAGCGCCGGCUAACUCCGUG